UCUAAAAUCGCUUCGUGUGUGUGUCUAUUGGAGCCUUCAGACGUGGUGGCGACUCGCUGGGUUGGAAGCGCGACUCGACUUGGUGAAGCGCGAUUCCCGAGCGACUCGAGUUACAUAUGUUACUAUGAAGUCCCACAUACGAGGCGACAGCUUCCCGCGAUUUCAUCACUACUUGCAUCUCAUUGGCUGGUCGGGGCGAAAUUAGAGCCAAUGAGCUAUCAAGCAGAGUUUUCCUCCACGUGGAGUCCGAGCGCGGGGCAGCUGGGAGGGGGAGUGCGGGGUAACUGGUAACAUCCGGCUUGGAGGAGUGCAUCACAACCACGCAUAGCAAGAUGAGUGACCAGGGAUCUGCUGACCGCUUUGAUACCGAAUUAUUAAUAGAUGAAAUAGAAAACCGUCCAGCCAUUUGGGAUAUGACAUGUGCUGAUUACAAGGAUAGGGUAGUCAAAAAGAGAUGCUGGGAGGAAUUAGUGGAUAUAUUCUGCAGUGGAGACGAACAGGAAAAAAAAAAAAAAAAUGUAGUGGGCGACUAGAUGGUAAUGUUUUGGGUGUAAGGCUGGUAGGGGCAGCAGCAGACCAAUAGAGUGCUGGCACCACUUUUGUGAUGUCAUGUCGCCUCUCCUUAUUCAACCUGCUUGAUCUUCUCCAAUGUUCAUAUAAGAUCAUAUCAACCUAUCAAGCAAUUGAAAGGGUCAAUUUGUAGUUUCACCCAACCAUGGAGUCUGGUAUGUGACUACAUUUUUCUGGUGAGAAAUGUAGUGAAAUGAUUGAUGGUAUAUGUAAUUUCCAUCAUAAAUGAAUAUUUUUCAGGU